ensembl:lncRNA
CGACUUUUAUUUGGAAUAAAAAUACGAAUGGCGGCCAUAUUGAAAUUUUCGUUAUUGUCGCUGGGUACACACUGCUAUCUCAGAGGUUUGGUGGGUGACAGCAGUUUUAUAUUAGAUUGUUGGCGCUCCACCGAAGGAGGAAAACAGUCGCAGGACCUCGUAGCAGCCGAGGUUGUGCGCCAGGGGGUGUUUGCCCUUUUGAAUUUCAAACGAAAUGAACGUAAACGAACUAAAACAAUACCAGCUGUUUGUGCAGGAGAUGCUAACUAACUAGCUAGUAGGCUACUUUGCUAACCAGCGUCCACUGUGAAAAGUAACGUCCGAAUAAAAGAAGGCAGAAACAACCAGAGCAUCUUCACUACCUCCAGCUACAACAACAACAACGUUGCAUAGCCAUCAUGACUCCCUGUGAGGUAGACUAUGCCCUGCAAACGCUGAUGUCGAAAAUAAAGGCGAGGGAGUUGGAGUCGCAACGGGCGAUGAACGAACACGUUCUGACAAACAGACUCUUGAAACGUCAGCUUCAGGAACUUCAGAACCGACUAGAGUCAAAAGAGAGCCAGUUAGCUGAUGCCAACGAGACUAUCCGGGCUCUUCGGAGUGUGACUCAGAUCAUCGCUGGUCUGCAGGAUGAGAUCAGGGCCCUGCGCACACAGCUGCUGACGCCCCAAGUUCACAACCAUCGAUCAAUCACCACACAGAUCCGGAACCCAGCAGCCAUCUCCGGUCCAAUCAGAAUUCAGGCCCCUGAUGACCUGUCCCGUCGCACUCUCUCUCACCCCACUGAAGCUGGCCCCACAUGUUCAGACUACAUUUCCCAGAAUUCCUCCAAAGAGUGCACCCUUCUGAAAAUCAUCUCGGAAUGCGGAAGGACAACAGAAGUUGCAGUUCCACGUGUAAAAGAGGAGGAGCAGGAAGUUGAAAUGGAAGGAGGGGAUGAGGACGGAGAGAGUGAGGGAGGGGUCGCCGAGGAAACGGUGAAGUUGGAGAACGACGGCGAGUGGGACGGGUGUUUCGAAUAUAACCAUGCAGCGCACGGCAGUGGAGAACUACCAGACAAGGAGUCUUCGUAUACCUUCAGCAAUCAUGACUUGGCUGCCAUUGAAGCGGCAACAUCCGCGUCUUCUUCGCGUUCUUCCGAUUCUGCUGCAGUCUUGAAUGCGUCUAACUCUCGGAAAAGGCAGGUGCCGGACACCCCUCUAGAUAGCCAGUCAGCAAGUGUGAUGGUCCACACUGCGCUCUGUGAGAAGCUCGGGGGUGACAGGAUAUUUCAUGAGUAUAAUAAGAUGAAAUGUCUCUCAGAUGGAACAAGGAGGAAGAUGGUCAACAUACUAGUGGCAGACAUGAUGGAAAAUCAUGGAAGGCCCCCACCAGCAAGUAUUCGAGUGUCUUAUGCGCUUGGAAUAGUAACCUUAUUCCCUUUCUUGAAGGAUCUGAACUCCAAGAAUGGUUAUGUAAGUAUUUGGAUAAAGGGCGAACAACAUGCAUGAAUACUGAAGACUGAAGGAAACGAUAAUCUGUUGCUAAAUAUGGUCCGUCAUCUGAUGUGAUCAAACGUACAGUAUAUACUGCAGAUGUCGCACUCUGCAAGAGCACUAAUAGCUAAUAAUGUAAUGAUGUGGACUAAUGGACUAAUGUGCCAUACUGUUUGUGUCUACGGACAACUUGGUUGGUGCUAUUGAUGUUCAUCACCAUAUACCUUUUCUUCAUCGUAAUUUUCUUUUUCUCAUCUUCUAUCUUUUGUGUGUGCAGAAGUGAGAUUGAUUACUUUAAACAUGGUGAUGUUGUUGCUAUUGUUGUAUUGCUGCAAUCACCU